AACGAACGCUGGCGGCAUGCCUAACACAUGCAAGUCGAACGGGAUCCUGGCUUCGGCCAGGUGAGAGUGGCGGACGGGUGAGUAACGCGUGGGAACCUGCCCAUUGGUCUGGGAUAACUGCGGGAAACUGCAGCUAAUACCGGAUGUACCCGAGAGGGGAAAGAUUUAUCGCCGAUGGAGGGGCCCGCGUCAGAUUAGGUAGUUGGUGAGGUAACGGCUCACCAAGCCUACGAUCUGUAGCUGGUCUGAGAGGAUGAUCAGCCACACUGGGACUGAGAUACGGCCCAGACUCCUACGGGAGGCAGCAGUGGGGGAAUAUUGGACAAAUGGGGGGCGAACCCUCGAUCCAGCAAUGCCGCGUGAGUGAUGAAGGCCUUAGGGUUG
rnacentral:rRNA from 1 species